rnacentral:rRNA from 1 species
AGUUUGAUCAUGGCCUGAUUGAACGCUGGCGGGAUGCUUUACACAUGCAAGUCGAACGGCGGCACGGACUUCGGUCUGUGGCGAGUGGCGAAUGGGUGAGUAAUGUAUCGGAACGUGCCUAGUAGCGGGGGAUAACGACCACAAGAAAGGCAUAAUACCGCAUACGCUCCUCGGGGGAAAGCGGGGGACCUUCGGGCCUCGCACUAUUAGAGCGGCCGAUAUCGGAUUAGCUAGUUGGUGGGGUAACGGCUCACCAAGGCGACGAUCCGUAGCUGGUUUGAGAGGACGACCAGCCACACUGGGACUGGAGACACGGCCCAGACUCCUACGGAGGCAGCAGGGGUUUUGGACAAUGGGGAAACCCUGGAUCCAGCCAUCCCGCGUAAAAAGUGAUGAAGGCCUUCGGGUUAAAGCACUUUUGGCAGGAAAGAAACGGCACGGGAUAAUACUCCCGUGCAACUGACGGUACCUGCAGAAUAAGCACUGGCUAACUACGUGCCAGCAGCCGCGGUAAUACGUAGGUGCAAGCGUUAAUCGGAAUUACUGGGCGCAAGCGUGCGCAGGCGGUUCGGAAAGAAAGAUGUGAAAUCCCAGAGCUUAACUUUGGAACUGCAUUUUUAACUACCGAGCUAUAGAGUGUGUCAGAGGGAGGUGGAAUUCCGCGUGUAGCAGUGAAAUGCGUAGAUAUGCGGAGGAACACCGAUGGCGAAGGCAGCCUCCUGGGAUAACACUGACGCUCAUGCACGAAAGCGUGGGGAGCAAACAGGAUUAGAUACCCUGGUAGUCCACGCCCUAAACGAUGUCAACUAGCUGUUGGGGCCUUCGGCCUUGGUAGCGCAGCUAACGCGUGAAGUUGACCGCCCGGGGAGUACGGUCGCAAGAUUAAAACUCAAAGGAAUUGACGGGGACCUGCACAAGCGGUGGAUGAUGUGGAUUAAUUGAUGCAACGCGAAAACCUUACCUACCCUUGACAUGUCUGGAAUCCCGAAGAGAUUUGGGAGUGCUCGCAAGAGAACCGGAACACAGGUGCUGCAUGGCUGUCGUCAGCUCGUGUCGUGAGAUGUUGCUAAGUCCCGCAACGAGCGCAACCCCUUGUCAUUAGUUGCUGAAGGAAAGUGGUACCAUUGAGACUGCCGGUGACAAACCGGAGGAAGGUGGGGAUGACGUCAAGUCCUCAUGGCCCUUAUGGGUAGGGCUUCACACGUCAUACAAUGGUCGGGACAGAGGGUCGCCAACCCGCGAGGGGGAGCCAAUCCCAGAAACCCGAUCGUAGUCCGGAUCGCAGUCUGCAACUCGACUGCGUGAAGUCGGAAUCGCCAGUAAUCGCGGAUCAGCAUGUCGCGGUGAAUACGUUCCCGGUCUUGUACACACCGCCCGUCACACCAUGGGAGUGGGUUUUACCAGAAGUAGUUAGCCUAACCGUAAGGAGGGCGAUUACCACGGUAGGAUCUUGGCGACUGGGGUGAAGUCGUAACAAGGUAG